rnacentral:rRNA from 1 species
AUUGAACGCUGGCGGCAUGCCUUACACAUGCAAGUCGAACGGCAGCACGGGUGCUUGCACCUGGUGGCGAGUGGCGAACGGGUGAGUAAUGCAUCGGAACGUGCCCAUGAGUGGGGGAUAGCCCGGCGAAAGCCGGAUUAAUACCGCAUACGCCCUUAGGGGGAAAGCGGGGGAUCUUCGGACCUCGCGCUAUUGGAGCGGCCGAUGUCGGAUUAGCUAGUAGGUGAGGUAAAGGCUCACCUAGGCGACGAUCCGUAGCUGGUCUGAGAGGAUGAUCAGCCACACUGGGACUGAGACACGGCCCAGACUCCUACGGGAGGCAGCAGUGGGGAAUUUUGGACAAUGGGCGCAAGCCUGAUCCAGCCAUGCCGCGUGAGUGAAGAAGGCCUCGG